rnacentral:rRNA from 1 species
GACGAACGCUGGCGGCGUGCUUAACACAUGCAAGUCGUACGGUAAGGCCCUUUCGGGGGUACACGAGUGGCGAACGGGUGAGUAACACGUGAGUAACCUGCCCACAACUUUGGGAUAACGCUAGGAAACUGGUGCUAAUACUGGAUAUGUGCUCCUGCUGCAUGGUGGGGGUUGGAAAGCUCCGGCGGUUGUGGAUGGACUCGCGGCCUAUCAGCUUGUUGGUGGGGUAGUGGCCUACCAAGGCGGCGACGGGUAGCCGGCCUGAGAGGGUGACCGGCCACAUUGGGAAUGGGAUACGGCCCAGACUCCUACGGGAGGCAGCAGUGGGGAAUAUUGCACAAUGGGCGCCAGCCUGAUGCAGCAACGCCGCGUGCGGGAUGACGGCCUUCGGGUUGGAAACCGCUUUCAGCAGGGACGAAGCUUUUUGUGACGGUACCUGCAGAAGAAGCACCGGCUAACUACGUG